UACGGAGGGUGCAAGCGUUACUCGGAAUCACUGGGCGUAAAGAGCGUGUAGGCGGAUAGAUAAGUUUGAAGUGAAAUCCUAUAGCUCAACUAUAGAACUGCUUUGAAAACUGUUUAUCUAGAAUAUGGGAGAGGUAGAUGGAAUUUCUGGUGUAGGGGUAAAAUCCGUAGAGAUCAGAAGGAAUACCGAUUGCGAAGGCGAUCUACUGGAACAUUAUUGACGCUGAGACGCGAAAGCGUGGGUAGCGAAAGGG
rnacentral:rRNA from 1 species